UAUGAUGACCCCCCCCACCCUGUGUAUUGAGGAACACGGACAGACUCCUACGGGAGGCAGCAGUAAGGAAUAUUGUCAUGGGCGAAGCUGAACCAGCCAUGCCGCGUGCAGAAGACGCCCUAUGGGUUGUAAACUGCUUUGUACGGGAAUAAACCUUGAUACGUGUAUCAAGCUGAAUGUACUGUAAGAAUAAGGAUCGGCUAACUCCGUGCCAGCAGCCGCGGUAAUACGGAGGAUCAAGCGUUACCCGGAUUUAUUGGGUUUAAAGGGUGCGUAGGUGGCCUGUUAAGUCAGGGGUGAAAGACGGUAGCUUAACUAUCGCAGUGCCUUUGAUACUGACGGGCUUGAAUACACUAGAGGUAGGCGGAAUGUGACAAGUAGCGGUGAAAUGCAUAGAUAUGUCACAGAACACCAAUUGCGAAGGCAGCUUACUAUGGUGUCAUUGACACUGAGGCACGAAAGCGUGGGGAUCAAACAGGAUUAGAUACCCUGGUAGUCCACGCCCUAAACGAUGAAUACUCGAUGUUGGCGAUAUACGGUCAGCGUCUAAGCGAAAGCGUUAAGUAUUCCACCUGGGGAGUACGCCCGCAAGGGUGAAACUCAAAGGAAUUGACGGGGGCCCGCACAAGCGGAGGAGCAUGUGGUUUAAUUCGAUGAUACGCGAGGAACCUUACCCGGGCUUGAAAGUUAGUGAAUAUAGCAGAGACGCUAUAGUCCUUCGGGACACGAAACUAGGUGCUGCAUGGCUGUCGUCAGCUCGUGCCGUGAGGUGUUGGGUUAAGUCCCGCAACGAGCGCAACCCCUAUGUUUAGUUGCCAGCAUGUAAUGAUGGGGACUCUAAACAGACUGCCUAUGCAAAUAGAGAGGAAGGAGGGGACGACGUCAAGUCAUCAUGGCCCUUACGUCCGGGGCUACACACGUGCUACAAUGGAUGGUACAGAGGGCAGCUACCUGGCAACAGGAUGCCAAUCUCUUAAAGCCAUUCACAGUUCGGAUCGGGGUCUGCAACUCGACCCCGUGAAGUUGGAUUCGCUAGUAAUCGCAUAUCAGCAAUGAUGCGGUGAAUACGUCCCCGGGCCUUGUACACACCGCCCGUCAAGCCAUGGAAGCUGGGGGUGCCUGAAGCCGGUAACCGCAAGGAGCCGUCUAGGGAAAUCCGAAAGU
rnacentral:rRNA from 1 species